AUGAGCUCAGUGUCCCCCACCCCAACCUGCUCCUCCUCUGGCAUUCCAUCCUGCAGUGAGGACACCACCAUCUAUCUGUCACCCAAGCUGGGAGUCGUCCUCCCUGCCCCGCUCCAUACAUACAGGGUGGAUGGCUGUGCCUCUGUUUCCCUCCCUGCAUCUUCUCCGUUCCCACAGCCACUGCCUCAGUUCCUUCUGUAUCAUCAUCCCCCGGGUUUGACUACCGUGGCCUCCCACAGGUAUGCCCGUCCCCAUGUUCGUUCUCUACACCGUUACCAGAGUGACCUUUGUCCAGUAAUGAACGUCUGCUUAAAGUCCCCACUGGGACCCCAUCACCUUCAGAAGAUUGCCUCAGCUCUAGGGUCAUCCCGCUCACCCGUCGGACCACCUGUUCCACCAGGACUUCUCUUGGCUGCCAGGAGCUUGGAGCUGAGCUACUGUCAGACCCAUGUCAACAAAUAAUGAUAAAUAACAAGGUAAGUGUUGGUUUAUGUACAAGGUGGUCUGUGAACACCGGUGUAGAUGGAAAAACUGCUUGUUUUAGCAUGCUAGAAGAAGCUUCCUAGGGUACAGGAUAGAAAGUUGGCACCGAAUAUUGUAAGACAAGUUGUGUCCUCUGGACAGACAUGGGGGGUGAGGGAGUGGUUAGGGGAGUAGGGUGGAUAGUAUUCCAGGCAAACGAAAUAAGGGGUACAAAGGUGAUGGUGGUAGUGGUGGUGGUGGUGGUGAGAGAUGAGAAAGUGUGCCAGGUUUGGGGAAUUGGGACAAAGCAUGAGAGCCAGUGGGUGGCCAGAGAGAAGGUGCAGGAUUGGAUUUAGGGCAGGCCAGCCAAAGAGCCCCAUAUGUGUCAAUCUUUAACAGGUCUAAAAUUAAAAAAAAAAUACAAUGCUAAUUAACUCAGACACUUGUGGCUUCUUACAUAACUUUUGAAACCUAAAUUGGCCCUAUUCCCUUGAGGUAAGACCGUGUCCUUGCAUGUUACUUUAAAAAUUCUCCCGGCUGGCAAUUCCAAUUAUAUAUUCAGUGCAUGUAAGAAAUUCCUUAUUUUUAAUGUAAAGAGGUUUGUAAUUCUUAUUAAUAGAAAAUCCAGUUCUUCUCAACUCCAUGCUGAACAGAUAUUUAAAGAAAAUUGACCUAUUUAUGUACUGCCAAAUGAUUAGUCUCCUGGUAAUGGACUUUUCCUCCAUCCAGGGCUGGCCCCUUCUCCCAGGUAAAAAUGGGACUGCUCCAUCGAUUACCUGAGCUGGGCACCCGAAGAGGCUAUAUCUUAUGAAGCACUGCCAAUUAAUUAUGUUUGGCACCCCAGAUAACCUAUGUGGUAGUCUUCUCUAAUAAAAAAAAUUUUGUAGGAGUCUAAAAGAUAAAAGACUGUCUCUGCCUUAGAGCCACCAUAUUCUCCUGGGUAUUCCAAAAUAUCAAGGACUUGCAUAUUCUACACUGCGGUUUUGCACACAUCCUGUGCAUGUUAAACAGGACUGUACGUUUAGUGUUCAAAAAUAUAGUCUCUCUGAUCUCUGGGUGGCUCAGUGGUUUAGCGCCGCCUUCGGCCCAGGAUGUGAUCCUGGAGUCCCGGGAUCGAGUCCUACGUCGGGCUCCUGCAUGGGGCCUGCUUCUCCUCUGCCUGUGUCUCUGCCUCGCUCUCUGUAUCUAUCAU
rnacentral:lncRNA from 1 species